GACGUAGGGCGCGAGCGUUGUCCGGAUUUAUUGGGCGUAAAGAGCUCGUAGGCGGCUUGUCGCGUCGUCUGUGAAAUCCCGCGGCUCAACUGCGGGCUGGCAGUCGAUACGGGCAGGCUGGAGUUCGGUAGGGGAGACUGGAAUUCCUGACGUAGCGGUGAAAUGCGCAGAUAUCAGGAGGAACACCGGUGGCGAAGGCGGGUCUCUGGGCCGAUACUGACGCUGAGGAGCGAAAGCGUGGGGAGCGAACAGG
rnacentral:rRNA from 1 species